rnacentral:ribozyme from 1 species
GGUGUUUAUAAUAAGGCCAUAGCAGAUGCAUUCACAGCAUGGCCUGUCAGAUUCCAACAAAUCUGAGAAUUCUGCU